rnacentral:rRNA from 1 species
GGACCUGACUGCUAUCGGAUUGAUACUAAGCCAUGCUAGUCUUUGUAGUAAUACAAGGCAUACGGCUCAGUAACGCGUAGUCAACCUACCCUAUGGACGGGGAUAAUCUCGGGAAACUGAGCAUAAUACCCGGUAGACCACUUAUCCUGGAAUGGUUAGUGGUUAAAAUGAUUCGUCGCCAUAGGAUGGGACUGCGACCUAUCAGCUUGUUGGUGAGGUAAUGGCCCACCAAGGCGAUUACAGGUACGGGCUCUGAGAGGAGAAGCCCGGAGAUGGGUACUGAGACAAGGACCCAGGCCCUAUGGGGCGCAGCAGGCGAGAAAACUUUGCAAUGUGCGAAAGCACGACAAGGUUAAUCCGAGUGAUUUCUGCUAAAGGAAUCUUUUGUUAGUUCUAAAAAUACUAGUGAAUAAGGGGUGGGCAAGUUCUGGUGU